rnacentral:rRNA from 1 species
UACGUAGGGGGCUAGCGUUGUCCGGAAUCAUUGGGCGUAAAGCGCGCGUAGGCGGCCAGAUAAGUCCGGUGUGAAAGUCACAGGCUCAACCUGUGAAUGCCGCUGGAAACUGUCUGGCUAGAGUCCGGAAGGGGCGAGUGGAAUUCCUGGUGUAGCGGUGAAAUGCGCAGAUAUCAGGAGGAACACCAAUGGCGAAGGCAGCUCGCUGGAACGGUACUGACGCUGAGGCGCGAAAGCGGGGGGAGCGAACAGG